rnacentral:rRNA from 1 species
GGGUUGUGAGGUUAAGCGACUAAGCGUACACGGUGGAUGCCCUGGCAGUCAGAGGCGAUGAAGGACGUGCUAAUCUGCGAUAAGCGUCGGUGAGGUGAUAUGAACCGUUAUAACCGGCGAUUUCCGAAUGGGGAAACCCAGUGUGAUUCGUCACACUAUCAUUAACUGAAUCCAUAGGUUAAUGAGGCGAACCGGGGGAACUGAAACAUCUAAGUACCCCGAGGAAAAGAAAUCAACCGAGAUUCCCCCAGUAGCGGCGAGCGAACGGGGAGGAGCCCAGAGCCUGAAUCAGUGUGUGUGUUAGUGGAAGCGUCUGGAAAGGCGCGCGAUACAGGGUGACAGCCCCGUACACAAAAAUGCACAUAUUGUGAGCUCGAUGAGUAGGGCGGGACACGUGGUAUCCUGUCUGAAUAUGGGGGGACCAUCCUCCAAGGCUAAAUACUCCUGACUGACCGAUAGUGAACCAGUACCGUGAGGGAAAGGCGAAAAGAACCCCGGCGAGGGGAGUGAAAAAGAACCUGAAACCGUGUACGUACAAGCAGUGGGAGCCUCUUAAUGGGGUGACUGCGUACCUUUUGUAUAAUGGGUCAGCGACUUAUAUUCUGUAGCAAGGUUAACCGAAUAGGGGAGCCGAAGGGAAACCGAGUCUUAACUGGGCGUUAAGUUGCAGGGUAUAGACCCGAAACCCGGUGAUCUAGCCAUGGGCAGGUUGAAGGUUGGGUAACACUAACUGGAGGACCGAACCGACUAAUGUUGAAAAAUUAGCGGAUGACUUGUGGCUGGGGGUGAAAGGCCAAUCAAACCGGGAGAUAGCUGGUUCUCCCCGAAAGCUAUUUAGGUAGCGCCUCGUGAAUUCAUCUCCGGGGGUAGAGCACUGUUUCGGCAAGGGGGUCAUCCCGACUUACCAACCCGAUGCAAACUGCGAAUACCGGAGAAUGUUAUCACGGGAGACACACGGCGGGUGCUAACGUCCGUCGUGAAGAGGGAAACAACCCAGACCGCCAGCUAAGGUCCCAAAGUCAUGGUUAAGUGGGAAACGAUGUGGGAAGGCCCAGACAGCCAGGAUGUUGGCUUAGAAGCAGCCAUCAUUUAAAGAAAGCGUAAUAGCUCACUGGUCGAGUCGGCCUGCGCGGAAGAUGUAACGGGGCUAAACCAUGCACCGAAGCUGCGGCAGCGACACUAUGUGUUGUUGGGUAGGGGAGCGUUCUGUAAGCCUGUGAAGGUGGCCUGUGAGGGUUGCUGGAGGUAUCAGAAGUGCGAAUGCUGACAUAAGUAACGAUAAAGCGGGUGAAAAGCCCGCUCGCCGGAAGACCAAGGGUUCCUGUCCAACGUUAAUCGGGGCAGGGUGAGUCGACCCCUAAGGCGAGGCCGAAAGGCGUAGUCGAUGGGAAACAGGUUAAUAUUCCUGUACUUGGUGUUACUGCGAAGGGGGACGGAGAAGGCUAUGUUGGCCGGGCGACGGUUGUCCCGGUUUAAGCGUGUAGGCUGGUUUUCCAGGCAAAUCCGGAAAACCAAGGCUGAGGCGUGAUGACGAGGCACUACGGUGCUGAAGCGACAAAUGCCCUGCUUCCAGGAAAAGCCUCUAAGCAUCAGGUAACAUCAAAUCGUACCCCAAACCGACACAGGUGGUCAGGUAGAGAAUACCAAGGCGCUUGAGAGAACUCGGGUGAAGGAACUAGGCAAAAUGGUGCCGUAACUUCGGGAGAAGGCACGCUGAUAUGUAGGUGAAGCGACUUGCUCGUGGAGCUGAAAUCAGUCGAAGAUACCAGCUGGCUGCAACUGUUUAUUAAAAACACAGCACUGUGCAAACACGAAAGUGGACGUAUACGGUGUGACGCCUGCCCGGUGCCGGAAGGUUAAUUGAUGGGGUUAGCGGCAACGCGAAGCUCUUGAUCGAAGCCCCGGUAAACGGCGGCCGUAACUAUAACGGUCCUAAGGUAGCGAAAUUCCUUGUCGGGUAAGUUCCGACCUGCACGAAUGGCGUAAUGAUGGCCAGGCUGUCUCCACCCGAGACUCAGUGAAAUUGAACUCGCUGUGAAGAUGCAGUGUACCCGCGGCAAGACGGAAAGACCCCGUGAACCUUUACUAUAGCUUGACACUGAACAUUGAGCCUUGAUGUGUAGGAUAGGUGGGAGGCUUUGAAGUGUGGACGCCAGUCUGCAUGGAGCCGACCUUGAAAUACCACCCUUUAAUGUUUGAUGUUCUAACGUUGGCCCGUAAUCCGGGUUGCGGACAGUGUCUGGUGGGUAGUUUGACUGGGGCGGUCUCCUCCUAAAGAGUAACGGAGGAGCACGAAGGUUGGCUAAUCCUGGUCGGACAUCAGGAGGUUAGUGCAAUGGCAUAAGCCAGCUUGACUGCGAGCGUGACGGCGCGAGCAGGUGCGAAAGCAGGUCAUAGUGAUCCGGUGGUUCUGAAUGGAAGGGCCAUCGCUCAACGGAUAAAAGGUACUCCGGGGAUAACAGGCUGAUACCGCCCAAGAGUUCAUAUCGACGGCGGUGUUUGGCACCUCGAUGUCGGCUCAUCACAUCCUGGGGCUGAAGUAGGUCCCAAGGGUAUGGCUGUUCGCCAUUUAAAGUGGUACGCGAGCUGGGUUUAGAACGUCGUGAGACAGUUCGGUCCCUAUCUGCCGUGGGCGCUGGAGAACUGAGGGGGGCUGCUCCUAGUACGAGAGGACCGGAGUGGACGCAUCACUGGUGUUCGGGUUGUCAUGCCAAUGGCACUGCCCGGUAGCUAAAUGCGGAAGAGAUAAGUGCUGAAAGCAUCUAAGCACGAAACUUGCCCCGAGAUGAGUUCUCCCUGAGACUUAGAGUCUCCUGAAGGAACGUUGAAGACGACGACGUUGAUAGGCCGGGUGUGUAAGCGCAGCGAUGCGUUGAGCUAACCGGUACUAAUGAACCGUGAGGCUUAACCUUACAACGCCGAAG